rnacentral:rRNA from 1 species
GACGAACGCUGGCGGCGUGCUUAACACAUGCAAGUCGAACGGAAAGGCCCUGCUUUUGUGUGGUGCUCGAGUGGCGAACGGGUGAGUAACACGUGAGUAACCUGCCCUUGACUUUGGGAUAACUUCAGGCAACUGGGGCUAAUACCUGAUAGGAGCUCCUGCUGCAUGGUGGGGGUUGGAAAGUUUCGGCGGUUGGGGGUGGACGCCCGGCUUAUCAGCUUGUUGGUGGGGUAGUGGCUUACCAAGGCAUUGACGGGUAGUCGGCCUGAGAGGGUGACCGGCGACAUGGGGACUGCGACACGGCGCAGAGUCCUACGGGAGACAGCAGUGGAGAAUAUUGCACAAUGGGGGGAAGCCUGAUGCAGCAACGCCGCGUGCGGGAUGACGGCCUUCGGGUUGUAAACCGCUUUCGCCUGUGACGAAGCGUGAGUGACGGUAAUGGGUAAAGAAGCACCGGCUAACUACGUG